ensembl:lncRNA
GGCAAAACUCAGCAUUUUUAGAUUCAUUUUUAUUUAUAUANAAAAAAUAUAAACGUUUAAAAAAAGGAAAUUUAGGAGAAUCAGUUAAUUGUGAACAACUUAUUACCAUUGUGUAAAUAAAAUGUAAUCAUGUAAUCCAUAAAAAAGUAACUGUAGUCUGAUUACGAGUAUUUUAAAAAGUAGUUUACUCUAAUUACAAGUACUUGAGUUUUGGAAUCUGAUUACGUAAUCCAGAUUACAUGUAAUCCGUUACUACCCAGCUCAGUAUAUAUAUAUAUAUUUACAUUUUGGAUUAUUUAUAAUUAAUUACAAUUAGUUGGAAUUUGGUUUGGAAUGACAGGAAGUGAAAUUUUGAACCGAUAGGUUUCAAAGUUUUUGGAUUAAUGAAAAAUAAAUAAGGGUUUGAAGCACACAUUUUACUCUGGUGCCACCUAUUGAUGAACAUGGCAGGAGAUUCAGACUGUUGAUCUUUUUUUUUAUCUGAAAGUGAAAAUUUAUGCGAGUAAAAUGAGCAUAAUUUGUUUGACAUUACUUAUUAAUUUUAAUGUUAUUUUAAUGUUGUUGUUUUGCUGAGAAAUGUUAUAUUCAUGAUAUAAACAUAAUUUCUAUUCAUGUCCUCUUUUGGAAGGCAAAAACAAAGUAGUUUCGUUUUCUCAAUAAAACAGCGGCACACAAUGCGGCCUUGAGUGAGCCGCGGUCUAGAGUGAACCGCGGCCGGCUUAAGUGAGCAGAGGCGGAUUCUAUGAAGGAGCGUACCUUGUGUGUGCAGCAACCAAAUGUGACGACCCCGGGCUGGACGCCGCUUCGUCCACGGUGAAAUCCGAUUCGGCGAUCCACAGGGCAAAGUUGAUGUAUUUCCUCAGCGACCAGCACGUAUCAGCUUGAGGCAUGACAAAGCGGAUAUCGUCCUCUUUUGGCCAAACAAAGUAGUUUCGCUGUCACAGUGAAUCACACAGCGUCUAUACGACAUGACGGCUGCAGCAACAACAAUACUACAAGAGAAUAAAAGUCAAUUGCAAACAGGACAAGGAAAGCUGAAGAAAGCUGUUCUCUGCAUUUCCAAGAGACGAGGCUAUAUAUAUGAAUGUAUGUGUGUGUGUGUGUGUGUCAUUAGUUGUGUCUUAAUUUGUUUAAUAAUUAUUACAAAAAUACUAUAAUAAAACUACAUUUCACGAUUAUUUAUUUUACUUUAUAAUUUACUUUUUGUCUAUUCUGUAUUAUUCCACCCUUGAUAUUACAUAUUUUCUUGCUAUUAUUCAUCUAUUGUUAUUCAUUUAUUUAUUAUGGUAUUAUAUGUAUACUUUGUGCUAUUAUAAAUCUAUUAUAUCACUUAUGUUAUUGUACUGUUGUACUCGCUUUUUAUAUUAUUCACUUUACUACAAGUUGUACAACAUAUAUUUUUUAAUAUUACAUGUCACUUUUACUAUGUUUUUACUGUGCGCUGUAUCAGAUCAUAAUAUUUUACCACUGUAACUAAGUUUUACGGGAUAUGUCACAGUCACAGUCACUAAAUUAGCAUUAGAAUUGUAAACCGAAAAAAUCAGCAAGUGAGACAAGUAUGAGCUUUCACAAUUUCUUACGAAAAUUAAUAAUUUUCCAAACCUAACUAAAUAACUGGAGGCAAAGUUAGCUUAACUGCAUGUAGAUCAUAAACCUCUGAAAUCGGCUGAUAAAUGUAAACGUUAUCGUGUUUUUAUCCAGAAAAAAACUGCAGCUGCCCCGUUUACUUCCAUUUAUUUUUAAGGCAGUCUUGCCCUCACAAACAGGUGGACGCGUUGACGUAUCGCAGCAACGGCUAAAGCGGCCAACGGGGUGUCUAGGUAUUUAUGUCUAUGAUGAUAUCAUCCAAAACACUGACUGCAUCUUUAUGGACGUCGCAAUAUGACAUAAAUGUAAAGAUGACAUCAUAGUUCAGCCAAGUCAGCGCACUGGCCGCUCAUUGGCUCGAAUGCUUAAUUGAUGUAUAAUGCGGCCAAUCAGAAGCCAAAUUACGAAAGCUCAUAUCACAAAUAAAGGCAAAUGUAAAAAAAAAAUAUUUUUGACG